UACGAAGGGGGCUAGCGUUGCUCGGAAUUACUGGGCGUAAAGCGCACGUAGGCGGCUUUCUAAGUCGGGGGUGAAAUCCUGGAGCUCAACUCCAGAACUGCCUUCGAUACUGGAAAGCUCGAGUCCGGGAGAGGAGAGUGGAACUCCUGGUGUAGCGGUGAAAUGCGCAGAUAUCAGGAAGAACACCAAUGGCGAAGGCAGCUCUCUGGGACGGUACUGACGCUGAGACGCGAAAGCGUGGGGAGCGAACAGG
rnacentral:rRNA from 1 species